UGCAUCUAUUUGCCAGACCUGAAGCAGUUAUUAACUAUCUGUUGCUAAGGUUUCCACUAUAGAUUCAAGAAAACAUGUCUUUGGGCUUUCUGUCUCAUUGUGGCAACUGAAACUGAAUAGAGGAAUACAGGG
rnacentral:snoRNA from 1 species